UGGGGAAUAUUGGGCAAUGGGCGCAAGCCUGACCCAGCAACGCCGCGUGAAGGAAGAAGGCUUUCGGGUUGUAAACUUCUUUUCUCAGGGACGAAGAAAGUGACCU
rnacentral:rRNA from 1 species